GACGGAGGGGGCAAGCGUUGUCCGGAAUUACUGGGCGUAAAAGGCGUGUAGGUGGCCUGGUGCGUCGGCGCUGAAACCUGCGGGCUUAACCCGCAGACGCGUGCCGAUACGACGGGGCUUGAGGUAGGGAGAGGGUUGCGGAAUUCCGGGUGUAGUGGUGAAAUGCGUAGAUAUCCGGAGGAACGCCCGUGGCGCAAGCGGCAACCUGGCCCUAACCUGACCACUGGAGACGCGAAAGCGUGGGGAGC
rnacentral:rRNA from 1 species